rnacentral:ncRNA from 1 species
UUCUAUCGACAGGGGAGCAGCUGAGAUUUUGCUGCUGAGAGUGCACCAGCAGACCCUCGAACCUGAUUCCAGCUCAUACUGGCGGAGGAAGUCGUAACUCUCCACGC